rnacentral:miRNA from 1 species
UGAUGUUCUUUUUUGUAAAGUGUCUUGAUUCCAUUGUCUUGAUGGAUAAAAAUGCAUAGACACACAUGCACACAUCAUCAACUUUACCAUCAUCAACAAACAAAUAU